GACCUUAGUUGCCAGCAUUCAGUUGGGCACUCUAAGGUGACUGCGGCUAAAGUCGGAGGAAGGUGGGAUGACGUCAAAUCAUCAUGCCCUUAUGACCUGGGCUACACACGUGCUACAAUGGGCGGUACGAAGGGUCGCGAACCCGCGAGGGGGAGCCAAUCCCAAAAAGCCGCUCUCAGUUCGGAUUGCAGGCUGCAACUCGCCUGCAUGAAGCCGGAAUCGCUAGUAAUCGCGGAUCAGCAUGCCGCGGUGAAUACGUUCCCGGGCCUU
rnacentral:rRNA from 1 species